CGAAGGGUGCGAGCGUUAAUCGGAAUUACUGGGCGUAAAGCGUGCGCAGGCGGUUUUGUAAGACAGGCGUGAAAUCCCCGGGCUCAACCUGGGAACUGCGCUUGUGACUGCAAGGCUAGAGUACGGCAGAGGGGGGUGGAAUUCCACGUGAAGCAGUGAAAUGCGUAGAGAUGUGGAGGAACACCAAUGGCGAGGCAGCCCCCUGGGUCGAUACUGACGCUCAUGCACGAAAGCGUGGGUAGCAAACAGGAUUAGAUACCCUGGUAGUCCACGCCCUAAACGAUGUCAACUAGGUGUUGGGUGGGUAAAACCAUUUAGUACCGGAGCUAACGCGUGAAGUUGACCGCCUGGGGAGUACGGCCGCAAGGUUA
rnacentral:rRNA from 1 species